rnacentral:lncRNA from 1 species
AAUUCUAAUUUUUCUUCUUACAAAGGUUCAUAAAAAUUCGUUCAACAUUAUAACAUUAUUUGACUUAAAACAUGUGGAGAUAAUUUCAAGUUGAUCGUUACUUUCUUGAUAUAUUAUCUUUGGAUUUUCCUAUAUAUAAUUUCACCAUUAUUCUCUUGGUAUAUACACACAUAAAAAAAAAAAAAUAAUAACAUACAAAAUGGAGAGAGAAAAAGAAUGACCUUAAAUAGGGCCAACCAAAAAGCGAGGAAUGCCAACAUUAAGACUACGCUGGCCUGACUUAUCCAGAAAACGAAUAGCUCACCAUUCUUUACGACAUGAGAACUUUUCUCAUGGUGUUUGAUUGCGAGGAAAAACAUGUUUCGGUGUGGCCAUCUACCCAAGAGGCAAAAUCACUCACCGAGAGUUACUACUCUUUGACCGAAAAUGAAAGGAACAAGAGGGCUGUUGAUCCAGACUCAUUCAUCCAGGCCAAUAUCCAAAAGAUUGAGAAGAAAAUAGCCAAUACUAUGUAGGCUAUCGAAGAGUUGGAGAGGGAUCAUCUCUUGUCGGAACUCAAUCGUGGUCUUCAAGGUUUAUAAGUUUUAUAAAGAAUUCCAAAAAAUGGUUGAGAUUAAGUCUUUGGGAAACAAUGCGUUUGUUAUGGCUAUUGAUACUUGAUUCUCGGUUUCGGCACGUGAAUUUAAAAAAUGUCUUGAAAACUCUAUUUAAUUCACCAAUGUAAUGACAUAUGAUGGUAUUCAAGGUAGACAAUGUUAAUGGAAGUAGUAUUGAGACAAUGUCUGAGUUUUCUAAGGGUUGUUUCCAAAUAUUUAUUCCUAAUUUUCUCUUAAUCUUGUUUAGGUCAUAUCUACUUUCUUUGUAAUCCUAAAUAAAAAUUAAAAAGCCCUCUAUAAUUUCUCUUCACUUUUGUUUAGAUAAAGCGUAUAAUCAUGAAGAUGUAUAAUAUCAAGCACGAGUACUUCUAUUUGGUGACCAUACCUGUACCGGGGACCUUUUUGAAACGAGAACUCUAUAGGGAUUAUAUGGGGCCGUCUUUGGAGGAAAAUAACUUCGAAAUUUUGAUAGUUUCACUAAAUUCAUUUCAUUCCUAGCACUCUUAUGAUAAGCAUAUAUUUUUUUUUUGUUUUUCUACUUUUUAAAGGAUUUCCCCUCUUUACUUUUUUCUAUUAUUUUUUCUAAUCACUUUUCACUCUAGAUUUAUUUUUAAUUUUUUUAUUGAGUUACCCAUGCCGUAGCCAUAUCUAUUAAUUUUGAUCUUGCCAUUUUCUGUACCCGUUUCCGUACUCUUUUCUAGUUCUCGUACUCAGUUUAGUGCUACUUGAAACUCUUCAGUUGACAAUGAAAUGACUAUGCAGGGUCAUCAUCAGUUGGGUUUGUGUCCUUAUUGAUUGGUGAUGGGUGUAAGUGUCAUGGCAACAUCAUUCACAUUUUUGGGCAUUCUUUAGGAUGUGCUAUCGCCUCGUUACUGGGAAUUUGAGUAUUUUUCUAUUAAUAAAAGGUUGUAUACUUUCAUUGAACUUAACUUUCAUUUCUGAUUAUUUUCCUCUCUUUUUUUGUCAUGGUAGCUUCGUUGCAGAUUUCAUAAGCGAUAUGUAUAUGUUAUAUACCACUAGCGAGUUAAAAAAUAAAUACCUAAAACACAUGAUUAAUCUACUACAAUAAUGUUUUAGCGUNNNNNNNNNNNNNNNNNNNNNNNNNNNNNNNNNNNNNNNNNNNNNNNNNNNNNNNNNNNNNNNNNNNNNNNNNNNNNNNNNNNNNNNNNNNNNNNNNNNNUGUUCAGUAUUUAUCCUCUAUAUUGUCAUUCAGUUAUUUCAUCAUUCCAUUAAACAUACCACUUGGGCCUUAUGUAAAUUUAGUCAAUUUUAGUAUCAGAAAAAUCUACUCAUCUUUUGUUUUCGAAAGAGGAAAAAAAAAUCUUGUCAAUUCAUAACAAAUUUUCCAUACAAAGUGUGAAAAAUGAUAAUCAUGAAUGCUAUUAAUGGUAAAAAAUCCAAUGGAAUAAGAAAUGAAUAAAAUUUAUUUGCUAAUAUAUUCAAGAAAGUUGGAAGUUUAUCAAACGUUCCCAUUAUUAAUUGACUUGAUUAAAACAAACUAACAAAGCCCUCAAGGUCUUAUCUCUAAGAGAUGUCUCGUUGACACUCAUGGGAUCAAAAUCCAUCUCAAUCCUAAAAGACAUAACUUUUUUACCACCUUAUGAAAGAAAUUCAUUGGGCUUGGUUUUGCAUAGGUUAUCAAGUUCACAACCACAGUUGAUUUCCUACAUGAGAUGAUCUAUCUCCAAUUCCUUGAUAGCCUUCAGAGUAUCGGCUAUUUUCCUAUCAAUCUUUUUGAUACUUGUGAGGCUACUAAGGAGUUGGAGAUGAGCCGUCUGAUGUUGAACUCAACCGUGGUCAUGUACGUGCUAACCUUUGCGUAACCGAGAUUGAAAAAUUGCUAUCAUAUACUGCUAAGAAAGUUAUGUCUUUCAAGAAUGAGAUGGAUCUUGAUUCUAUAAAUGUCGACGAGGCUUAUCUUCGAGAUGCAGCCUUGAGGGCUUCCAAUGUUCCAUCUCCUGGGUGGCGGCGGAAUAGUUCUAACGUGAUUAAAACUGCAACGGUCUAUUAGUAUGAUAAUUGGGGGGUCUCUCAUGAGAUUCGUUUAUAUCAUAUCAAGACGCGGUAUCUACACGGAAAAAUUCUAAUUUUUCUUCUUACAAAGGUUCAUAAAAAUUCGUUCAACAUUAUAACAUUAUUUGACUUAAAACAUGUGGAGAUAAUUUCAAGUUGAUCGUUACUUUCUUGAUAUAUUAUCUUUGGAUUUUCCUAUAUAUAAUUUCACCAUUAUACUCUUGGUAUAUACACACAUAAAAAAAAAUAACAUACAAAAUGGAGAGAGAAAAAGAAUGACAUUGAAUAGGGCCAACCAAAAAGCGAGGAAUGCCAACAUUAAGACUACGCUGGCCUGACUUAUCCAGAAAACGAAUUAGCUCACCAUUCUUUACGACAUGAGAACUUUUCUCAUGGUGUUUGAUUGCGAGGAAAAACAUGUUUCGG